AUACAGAGGGUGCAAGCGUUAUUCGGAAUUACUGGGCGUAAAGCGCGCGUAGGCGGAUGAUUAAGUCAGUUGUGAAAGCCCUGGGCUCAACCUAGGAACUGCAUCUGAUACUGGUCGUCUAGAGUUUAAGAGAGGGAAGUGGAAUUCCAGGUGUAGCAGUGAAAUGCGUAGAUAUCUGGAGGAACAUCAGUGGCGAAGGCGACUUCCUAGCUUAAAACUGACGCUGAGGUGCGAAAGCGUGGGUAGCGAACGGGAUUAGAAACCCUAGUAGUCC
rnacentral:rRNA from 1 species